GAUGAGGUGGCUGAGCGGUUAAGGUGAUAGUCUGCUAAUCCGUUAUGUUUUGCAUGCAUGGGUUCAAAUCCAUCUUUGUUG
rnacentral:tRNA from 1 species